rnacentral:lncRNA from 1 species
UAGUAAAGAUAAUCACAAAUUAUAUUAAUGUUCAACAAAAUACAGUAUACCAACAAUAAGACAGAUAUGUGUACCGUUCCAACUCUAAUAGUUUGAUAGGGGGGAAUUAUGUUGCCAAAAGGGGCAAGCUGAAGAAGAUCACACCUGCACAAAAUUAAAGAGUUUGCGUCAAAAAUUAAGAAUUGGAACUAAGAAUAUAUUUAACAGGUUUAUUAAGGAUUGUGAGAAUCAGGUUAAUUGAAUUCUAUUUGACAAUAAAUUCAAGUUGUGAAAUAGAGGUAAUAAGGUGCGGCCCAAAGCACCAAUGCUCUUGCACUUGUUCAUGUUUAUAAUUUGUAGUUUAGUACUUAAUUAGUAGUUCACAUUCAUAAGUAGCCUAGGAAUAAUUAGGUUCCACUGCCACCAGGCCAAUAAGUUAACAUUCACCUAGACAUUCAUAAUAUAUUCUCCUGCAAAUAAAAGCAUUUAGAUUGCAUUUCUGAGGACUGUAAUAAGGAAAUUCAUAGCACUAUCCAAGUUUACUAAGCAAGCCUAGAACAAUUUUCAUCCUUUACACUCACCACACAACUUGUCAUGUAUUGUUACACUAUUUUAACACCAUAACAGUGUUUAUACCUGACAAUUAAACAAACCACAACCUUGUAGACACACAAAAGAGUUUUGAUUAUCAUAUGUAAGAUGUUCAAGACAAACCCUACAUCACUUUGAAAAUUUCGAAUUUGACAAUUAAUAAGUAGAAGAUGAGAAUUAAAUAAAAGAUGAUUAAUGAACUUUAAUUGAAACUCAAUGUAAACCGAACAAACUUAAAUUACAAACACAAAUUAAAAUAGAUGUUUUACCUAAAUCAGAGAUAAGAGAUAAUGGGAUUGUUGUUUCAAUAAAGAGCCGAUAAGAGAUGAUCUUAUGAUUGCAAAUUUCAGGGGAAGAAAAGAAGGCGUGGGUUGUUUGUUAGUAGAUUGAUAUACCAGUUAAGGCAUA